GAAACAUUCAUUCAGACAAUCAUAAAGCAACUGAAUGAACUUAUACCAUCAUAUGACUAUGACACUUCCGAGGAAUAUUCUGCUACUAAAUAAGGGAUUUGCAUGGCUCGCUGCUGUCAUGAUAGUUUUACUGACUCAGAAGGCUGCCUCAACAUCUGCUGUUAUGGCCUGUGGGGUGUCUGUUGAUCCACCUGCCAGUAUUCAGAUAACAGAUCCUGGAAACCUGGGUUACCUUACAAUCCAGUGGGCUCAACCAGCCAGCCUCCGGAACCUCACAGACUGCAAACUGAGAUACCAACUCCGAUACUAUGACACCUAUGAGGAGCGCUGGAGGAUUAUCCGAACACAUAAACUGAGUUAUUCUGCCCAGUUUGACCUUGAGAAACCCAUCAAGAUAAGAAUUGUCACUCUGAUGAAAUGCACUUGCACCAAUGGGACAGAGGUCCAAGGAGAGGAGGCGGACAGGGAGUACACACCUGACCUUACAGGUGUGGAAGGGUCAAGAAUAAGAGAGUUUCACUGUGUUUUCCAUGGGAAGGAGUAUAUGGACUGCACGUGGGAGUCAGGACCGGUCCAGCCGCCAAAUUCACAGCACUACCUGUAUUACUGGCAUAGAGAAAUGGAUGAAACGAAGGAAUGUCCAGAAUACAUCAUAUUAAAUGAGGUUCGGCGAGGAUGCAGGUUUCCUCAUCAAUCUCUGUUAGAGUUCACUCAGUUUAAUAUGUGUGUCAAUGGAUCAUCUGCAGCUGGGAGCCUGAGAGCGGCCUUCUUCUCUUUGGAGGUCCAAAAUUAUGUAAAACCAGGAGCGGUUUCCUCUCUUCAGAUGUUGGAGACUGAUGAACUGUUGAGGUUAGAUUGGGUGCCACCCAGUGGUUUAGUUCCAGAUCACUGCUUGGAAUAUGAGGUGGAGAGCAAUGUUAUGAUGAAAGAUGGCAAAGAAAAAGAGCUCAGGAAACUUUUUGAGGAAACAUCGGGCGAUUUCCAGAAGGAUGGAGAAAGUAAAUUUACCUGCUUUCGGGUCAGGUCAAAGAUGAGCAUGUACUGUGCUGAUCAGGGACUUUGGAGCGAUUGGAGCCCAACAACAUGUACAGCUAAUUCACAAAUUUCUCAUGCUAAUUCCCCUAUCAGCAUCAGGAGAGGAAACCCAAUAUAUACCAUCAUGGCAUCUUCUUAAUAUGGUGUUGGGUAUCACUUUUGUUGUAUUCUUCAUCCUCUGUCUUUCAUUGUGGAUUUUAAAGAAGUUGUGCAGAAAGAAGGACGUUAUCUACACUUUAUACAAGCAGGAGAUUAAUGAAACCUUUCCCACAGCCUUAAGUCCCAUUUUCCAGUGAUUCAAUAGCAUUAUAUUUCUGUCACGUGAUAAUAUUUUGUUUCAGUUUUGUGCCAAAUUGACGUGUCUAUUAUGCAUUACCAUUUAAGCAUUCUUAACUGCACUGAAUGUAUGAUGGUCAGAAAGAUAACAAUAGCUGAUAUGAUGACAGAUGAAUUAUGUGGACCACAGCAUUUACCUGAAUUUAUGAACCAGAUUGUAUACUGACCGACUAUAUUACUUGUUAUGUUUACAUGGACGUGUAAAUUAUCAAAGUUACUCAUACAAUAGAUUUUCCAAAUGCCUAGGAGCUUGCCAGUUUCACACUUUCUUUAUUACCUUGUUCAUGACUGUUUCAGUAUUUGAGAUAUGUAUUACUGUUGCUCACAUUAUGAAGUAACACUUUUUACACAAUCAAAUAAAUACACAAUAAAAGAAUAUAUUACACAAAACACACUGAUGGAAAACUACA